rnacentral:lncRNA from 1 species
AGCAGCCACGUCAACAGCCCGGUCAGCAGCCCUGACCAACCAGGUCACGUCGCGUGGCAGAGACGCUGACGCGGGAGGCCACGCAGAACGGAGCCACGUGGGCGAUCCACGUGCACGCGAUUGGAUGGCUGAGAUCCGUUCUUGCGUGCACGAACAGCCCAGAUCAAACACGCAUGCGGACGGCCUAGAUUGCACGCGUGCGGACGGUUCAGAUUGAAUCACGCACGGACAGCCCAGAUCACACCGUGAUGGACGGCCCAGAUUCAUUUCAAAUUUAAUUGCGAUCGGACGGUCCAGAUUAAAUCGUGAUGAAUGACUAAGAUUAAAAGGGGAAGGUUAUAAAUAAUCUCAUCCACACCGAACUCCAAACCCUAGCUGCCAGAGCUCUCGCCAAAGAAGACAGCCCAGCCAUCGGAGGAACCGACCGCUGCCACCCGCUGUAGCACCAGAACACUUUUCGGCCGCCAAACGAGGUAAAAAAAUUUCUUUUGGCUUGGAUUUUGAUGCUAAACCUGCCUGUGGCCAAAUCGAAGCCAAACCACCGGCCAAUUGGUCAGAAAAUGCUGCUGAAGCCCAGCGGCGCCGCCGCGGGUUUCCUCGAUUUUUGCCUUCAAUGAGGCUCUUCCCGAUUCCCGUUCAAUGUAAUUUUUACACCACUGUGACUACCAUCCUUUCUUCUACAGGUUGACCGAAGCAAAAAAUCAAAUCGCGACUUACGACAGAGGAUCCACCGCACCCAAGAGCUCCGCCACCGGUAGGUCUAAAUUUUUUUUAGUU